UAGGGAAUAUUGCAAAAUGGGCGAAAGCCCGAUGCAGCAACGCCGCGUGGGCGAUGAAGGCCUUCGGGUCGUAAAGCCCUUUUUGAGGGGAUGAGGAAGGACAGUACCCUCAGAAUAAGCCUCGGCUAACUACGUGCCAGCAGCCGCGGUAAAACGUAGGAGGCGAGCGUUAUCCGGAUUUACUGGGCGUAAAGCGCGUGCAGGCGGAUUGGAGAGUUGGAUGUGAAAGCUCCCGGCUUAACUGGGAGAGGUCGUUCAAUACUUCCAGUCUUGAGUGCAGUAGAGGGAAGUGGAAUUCCGGGUGUAGUGGUGAAAUGCGUAGAUAUCAGGAGGAACACCGGCGGUGUAGACGGCUUGCUAGACCAUAACUGACGCUGAGGCACGAAAGCGUGGGUAGCAAACA
rnacentral:rRNA from 1 species